CGGAGUGUAGCUCAGCUUGGUAGAGCACUGCCUUCGGGAGGCAGGGGCCGGAGGUUCGAAUCCUCUCACUCCGACCA
rnacentral:tRNA from 13 species